UACGUAGGGUGCAAGCGUUGUCCGGAAUUAUUGGGCGUAAAGAGCUCGUAGGCGGUCUGUCGCGUCGGCUGUGAAAUCCCGAGGCUCAACCUUGGGUCUGCAGUCGAUACGGGCAAACUAGAGUAUUGCAGGGGAGACUGGAAUUCCUGGUGUAGCGGUGAAAUGCGCAGAUAUCAGGAGGAACACCGGUGGCGAAGGCGGGUCUCUGGGCAAUAACUGACGCUGAGGAGCGAAAGCGUGGGGAGCGAACAGG
rnacentral:rRNA from 1 species